CUCAAAUUUUGGGGGAAAAAAAAAAAAAAGAAAAAGAACGCACCGAGAGGAGGUGCGUGCGAGAUCUACCUGAAAUGCUCUGGUUCCUCACUCUUCCGGGAAUGCUUCAGAUCUUUUUCCUCAACCCUAUUGUCUCCAUUUCUAGAUCUCUAAAACCAGCGCUCUAACUACUACAAGACUAAUUCGGAGUAGAAAAUAAUAUUUACUUGUAGUUUUGACAAAUAGAGCAGAGAAGAUGUAUAUGUCAUAUGGAUGGCCUCAGGUGAUCCCUCUGGAUUCAGGACUCCGUCCUUCUUCACAGAAGAUUAUCUACCUCAAAGUCAUCAACCGCCUCUUGCUUGUCGUCGCCCCUUCUCACCUCGAGCUGUGGAGCUCCUCUCAGCAUAAAGUGAGGUUGGGCAAUUACAAGAGGGAUUUGGAGUCUGUGGAGAAAGAGGGCGAGAAUUUACAGGCUGUGUGGAGUCCCGAUGCCAAAUUGAUCGCCAUUCUCACAUCGUCCU
rnacentral:misc_RNA from 1 species